UCAAGCUACAAAGAGCACAAGGGGAAUGCCUUGGCACCGAGAGCCGAAGAAGGACGUGACUAACUGCGAUAAGCUGCGGGGAGCCGUAAGUAGGCUUUGAUCCGCAGAUUUCCGAAUGGAGCAAUCCGGCAAGAGGAAAGUCUUGUCAUCAUAUACUGAAUACAUAGGUAUAUGAGGGGAACCGCCUGAACUGAAACAUCUAAGUAGGGCGAGGAAGAGAAAUCAACUGAGAUUCCGUAAGUAGUGGCGAGCGAACGCGGAAGAGGCCAAACCGAGAGUAGUAAUACUUUCGGGGUUCGGACAGAAUACGGCAUUGUAAAGGUUUAGUGGAAUGGAAUGGGAAGUCCAACCGAAGAAGGUGAGAGUCCUGUACACGAAAAGCCUGAACAGCCAUCUGUAUCCAGAGUACCGCCGGACACGUGAAACCCGGUGGGAAUAUGGGGGGACCAUCCUCCAAGCCUAAAUACUACUCGGUGACCGAUAGUGAAGAAGUACUGUGAAGGAAAGGUGAAAAGUACCCCUGACGGGGAGUGAAAAAGAACCUGAAACCUUGUGUUUACAAGCACCGAAAGCUCAUCAAAGAGCGAUCGGGUACCUUUUGUAGAAUGGUCCGGCGAGUGAAUGUAACCGGCGAGGUUAAGCACUUAAGGUGUGAAGCCGCAGCGAGAGCAAGUCUGAAUAGGGCGUAUGAAGUCGGUUGUAUUCGACCCGAAACCGGGUGACCUACCCAUGGUCAGGUUGAAGUAAAGGUAAAACUUUAUGGAGGACCGAACCGACUCCCGUUGAAAUGGUAGCGGAUGAACUGUGGGUAGCGGAGAAAUUCCAAUCGAACCCGGAGAUAGCUGGUUCUCUCCGAAAUAGCUUUAGGGCUAGCCUUGAAAUAGAUUACCGGAGGUAAAGCACUGAAUUGGCUAGGGGCCGAGAGGUUACUGAACCUUAUCAAACUAAGAAUGCCGGAUAAUCGUUUUUCAGGAGUCAGACAGUGGGAGAUAAGUUUCAUUGUCAAAAGGGAAACAGCCCAGACCCACAGCUAAGGUCCCCAAGUAUAGUUAAGUGGAAAAGGAUGUGGAAUUGCACAGACAACCAGGAUGUUGGCUUAGAAGCAGCCACUCAUUAAAAGAGUGCGUAAUAGCUCACUGGUCGAGUGACUCUGCGCCGAAAAUUUAACGGGGCUAAACUAUACACCGAAGCUUGGGAUACAUCUAAUGUAUGGUAGGAGAGCGUUCUGUAUGGGGCGAAGUCGUAGCGAAAGCGGCGGUGGACUAUACAGAAGUGAGAAUGCCGGAAUAAGUAGCGAGAAUUAAGUGAGAAUCUUAAUGGCCGAAAGUCUAAGGUUUUUGGAGGAAGGUUCGUCCGCUCCAAGUAAGUCGGGAGCUAAGGUCAGGCCGAAAGGCGUAGCCGAUGCACAUACGGUUGAUAUUCCGUAACCAUCUGUAAUUUAAGCAAAGGGACACUUCAAAAGGGUGUGACCCGGGCGUUGGUUGACCCGGGCGUAAGGGACCGAAAUUAGAGUAGGGAAGCACACUUAGCUGAAGGCGAGAAAAGCUUUGCGUAUAGAAGCAGAUGCCCGUACCGCAAACCGACACAGGUGGACAGGAAGAGAAUUCUAAGGCCAGCGGGAGAAGGGUAGUUAAGGAACUCGGCAAAUUGACUCCGUAACUUCGGAAUAAGGAGUGCUCGAAAGAGCCGCAGAGAAUAGGCCCAGGCGACUGUUUAGCAAAAACACAGGUCUCUGCCAAAUCGAAAGAUGAAGUAUAGGGGCUGACACCUGCCCGGUGCCGGAAGGUUAAGAGGAGGAGUGAGAGCUCCGAAUUGAAGCCCCGGUAAACGGCGGCCGUAACUAUAACGGUCCUAAGGUAGCGAAAUUCCUUGUCGGGU
rnacentral:rRNA from 1 species